rnacentral:rRNA from 1 species
ACCUCUGACCUCAAAUCAGGUAGGACUACCCGCUGAACUUAAGCAUAUCAAUAAGGCGGAGGA